rnacentral:lncRNA from 1 species
CUGGCUCCUCUAGGCUGUUAUAUCCCAGGCCAUGCCCAGAAACCGGAGUCCUGAGCUGAGGGCAGAUUUCAGAGCAUGGUAGGCCCAAGGCCAGAGCUCUCUUGAGGCUAACGUCAGAGCUGACUGUGAUCAAAGACAGGGCUGAGCUGUCAAACUUUCUCAAAGAAGGGCUGAUACUUCUUUUAAGGGUACGAUAUUACCUGUGAACUAAAUAGUUCUCAUGAGUAAUUGCUGGACGGAAAUGUAUAGAUCUCCUAACUUUGGCUUGCAUCAAGGCUUGUAAAAACACCUAUUUCUGGGCCCUGCCUGAGAGGUUCUGACUGAAUAGGAGAAGCCGAGAAUUUGUAUUUCCUUUCAUUUUAUUUUAGAGAUGGGGAUUUCACUCUGUCACCCAGGCUAGAGUGCAGUGGUGCAAUCGUAGCUCACUGCAGCCUUGAACUCUUGGGUUCAAGUGAUCCUCCUACCUCAGCCUCCCAAGUAGAUGGGACCACGUGUGUGCACCACUACACCCAGCUAAUUUUUUAAAACUCUUUUUUUUUUUUUUUUUUUCUUUGUGCAGACGAGGUCUCGCUCUGUUGCCCAGACUGGUCCUAAACUCCUGGCCUCAAGUACUCCUCCUGCUUGGGCCUUCCAAAUUGUUGGGAUCAUAGAUGCAGAAACCACGGCCCAGGGAAGACGCAGCUUGAGCAAGGUCACCGGCAGUUUCCUUUGCAGUAAAAUGGGAAUAAAAAGAAAAUCUACGUAACAGUAGAUAUUCUGUGAGGAUUACGUGAAUUCAUAUUUGAAGAGUGAGUAGAAGGGUUCCUGGCACAAGCUCUACAAGUGUGGCUGGAAUGAAUAUGAUGAUGAGGAUGAAGAUGAGGAUGGCGGGGCUGGAGCUCAAGUGCCAUACUGUGUCCUGGAGCAGAAGCCACGUGUUGAGGACAGUCUGGACCCUUAACGAGGGUUGAGCCACGACACCAGCCUGUGACUGUUUACCUCUUGAGUUUGUUUACAGGAGAAGAAAAUAAACUCUCACCUUGUUUAACACACCAUCCUGUUGGCUUUUCAGUUUGCUUGUAGCCCGAUCUAAUCCUAACUGAUACAGGAACAUUGUAGGUUCAACUCACAUCCCUGUCCCCUGCACCAUGUUGUCGCUCUUUAAGAUAAUGUCUCACUGUUCCUACUUGGGUUGUACAUUCCUUGAGGACGGAAAAGCUUCCCACUCACAGUAGGUGCCCAGAAAGUAAGUAUCGAAUUAAUGGAAGAACAAUGUGAAAAUCAUUCUGGUUAGGUAGACAAGGAAUUCUUUGGCUAGUUGCAGAAAAUCAGUGAUAGUAAUAACAAAAUUUAUCAAGCAUAAUGGCUGGCGUGCUUUUUUUUUUUUUUUUUCCAAGUCAGAGUCUUGCUCUGUUGCCCAAGCUGGAGGGCAGUGAUGUGAUCACAUCUCACUGCACCCUUGACCUCCUGCCUCAAAUGAUCCCUCCAUCUCAGCCUCCUGUGCACCAGCACACCCAGCUAAUUUUUAAAUUUUUUUUUUGUAGGGAUGAGGUCUUACUAUAUUGCCCAGUCUGGUCUUGAACUUCUGGACUCAAUUGAUCCUCCUGCCUCAGCCUUCCAAAGUGUUGGGAUGACAGGUAUGAGCCACUAUGCCCAGUCCCUGGCAUUCCAAGUACUUCAAGUGUAUUUUAUAGUUCAGCUCUCAUGACAAUCCUAUGAAAUAAAUACAGUUGGCCCUCUACACCUGUGGGCUCUGCAUCGAUGGAUUCAACCAACCAUGGAUU